AUGGCUGAGCGCCUACCCCAGGCUUCCCGGCAACGCCGAGGGAAAGCCAUGACGGCCGCCGCGGGUUCGGCGGGCCGCGCCGCGGUGCCCCUGUUGCUGUGCGCGCUGCUGGUGCCCGGCGGCGCGUACGUGCUGGACGACUCCGACGGGCUGGGCCGGGAGUUCGAUGGCAUCGGCGCGGUCAGCGGCGGCGGGGCAACCUCCCGACUUCUAGUAAAUUACCCGGAGCCCUAUCGUUCUCAAAUAUUGGAUUAUCUCUUUAAGCCAAACUUCGGUGCCUCUUUGCAUAUUCUAAAAGUGGAGAUAGGUGGUGAUGGGCAGACUACAGAUGGUACUGAACCCUCCCACAUGCACUAUGCAUUAGAUGAGAAUUAUUUCCGAGGAUAUGAGUGGUGGUUAAUGAAGGAAGCUAAGAAGCGGAACCCUAAUAUUAUACUCAUGGGGUUGCCAUGGUCAUUCCCUGGAUGGCUGGGGAAAGGUUUCAACUGGCCUUAUGUAAAUCUUCAGCUGACUGCCUACUACGUCAUGACCUGGAUUGUGGGCGCCAAGCAUUAUCAUGAUUUGGACAUUGAUUAUAUUGGGAUUUGGAAUGAGAGGUCAUUUGACAUCAAUUAUAUCAAGGUGUUAAGAAGGAUGCUGAACUAUCAAGGUCUCCAUCGAGUGAAAAUCAUAGCAAGUGACAAUCUCUGGGAACCCAUUUCUGCUUCUAUGUUGCUUGACACUGAGCUCUUGAAUGUGAUUGAUGUUAUAGGAGCUCAUUAUCCUGGGACCCGAACGGUGAGGGAUGCGAGGUUGACCAAGAAGAAGCUUUGGUCUUCUGAGGAUUUUAGCACUUUAAACAAUGAUGUGGGUGCAGGCUGCUUGGGUCGCAUAUUGAAUCAGAAUUACAUCAAUGGCUACAUGACUGCCACAAUUGCUUGGAAUUUGGUGGCGAGUUACUAUGAACAGUUGCCUUAUGGACGAUGUGGGUUGAUGACUGCUCAGGAGCCGUGGAGCGGGCACUAUGCUGUAGAACCCCCCAUCUGGGUCACAGCCCAUACCACUCAGUUUACUCAGCCAGGUUGGUAUUACCUGAAGACAGUUGGUCACUUAGAGAAAGGAGGAAGCUACGUGGCUCUGACUGAUGGCUUAGGUAACCUCACCAUCAUCGUUGAAACUAUGAGCCAUAAACAUUCUAGGUGUAUACGGCCGUUUCUGCCUUAUUUCAAUGUGUCGCACCAGUUUGCUACCUUCCUUCUAAAGGGCUCUUUUAGUGAAAUACCAGAGCUACAGGUGUGGUAUACCAGACUUGGAAAACCAUCGAAGAGAUUUCUUUUUAAACAACUGGAUUCUCUAUGGCUUCUCGACAGCGGUGGCGCUUUCACGCUGGAGCUGCAGGAAGACGAGCUCUUCACCCUCACCACUCUCACCACCGGGGGCAAGGGCAGCUGCCCGCCGCCUCCAGAGUCCCAGCCUUUCCCGCAGGUGUAUGAUGAUGAUUUCGAUGUUGAUUACCCGUUUUUUAGUGAAGCUCCGAAUUUUGCAGAUCAGACUGGUGUCUUUGAAUACUUUACGAAUAUCGAAGACCCUGGAGAGCAUCGCUUCACGCUGCGCCAAGUUCUCAAUCAGCGGCCCAUUACCUGGGCCGCUGAUGCAUACAACACUAUCAGUGUUAUAGGAGAUUACAAAUGGUCCAACCUGACUGUGAGGUGUGAUGUUUACAUAGAGACUCCUGAGAAGGGAGGCGUGUUCAUUGCGGGAAGAGUAAAUAAAGGUGGUAUCUUGAUUAGAAGCGCUAGAGGAGUUUUCUUCUGGAUUUUUGCAAAUGGAACCUACAAAGUUACAGGUGACCUAGCUGGAUGGAUCACAUAUGCUUUAGGACAUGUUGACGUUACAGCGAAAAGAUGGUAUACGCUCACAUUAAUUAUUAAGGAGGACACAUCUCUCGUUGGGAUCUUCUCGAUUUUAAACCAAAGCAGAUACCCAGGUUCUAUUCCGGCCCACUGAGUAUGACGGACAUAUUGAAAACAUCCUUCUAUGAAGACAGGAGGAAGGGAUAAUGUAAAAAUACAAGGACAAACAUACAGGGAAGUUUAUGAGGAAUUCCAAAAAUUGGUCUCCAAAAGAAGAAUGCAUGUCUGACAUGAACCUCAGGACCUGGAAUCCUUUUGGGUCAUUUCCGGGAGACAGAAGAGCCGUCCUUCUAAGAUGAGGUGAUCAAAGCUCAGAAGGCAGGCCUUGAACCCUGGAUUCCUGAUCCUACUUGCUCCACCACACCACUCAGCUCCCUCAUCCUGGCAGCGGAACCGAAGUCCGUGAGGACCCUGGAGCCAGGAGCCAGAAGCGGCCACUGGAAGACCUGGAUAUUACAUCACGCUGUCUUGGAUAGUAACUAAAGGGAAGCAAAAACACAGACUCUUUGACCAGUCUCUCCUUCCACAUCCUGCGGCGUCCAUCUUGCUGAGAUGAUAGGAGUUGGCAUGACUGAAGUCUAGGAAGCAGCCAGGUAGGGGGUCACCUCUGAUCGUGACAGAUUCUGACACAGAAACCUACUAUCAACCUUGUAUAAUUCUGUCAAGGGCAUCUGAAGAAGAGGAAUAUGUUUAGCUCAGAAACAAACAAACAGUUAGGGAGGCACAUCGGGUCCAUUGGUGAGAGAGGAAGUAGGUUUGUUGCCUGUGAUCCCGGAGGUGAGACGCAGGAAAGGGGGUUGAGUUCACAGGCAAACAGACUUGGGCUCAGCAAAAUACCUAGAAGUCACUGUGUUCUUCGUGAAGCCCCACAAAACAAGGAACUAAGUAGCUCUCUUUCACCUCUGACUUCUUCUCCACGUCUCUCCUCAGACCUGGUUUUUUCUGCUACCUCUCAGUCCCUCAUGAGGGACUGAGGGUGGGAAUGUCCUUCUAGAUGAUAGUUUUGGGGGGAAAAGGGGAUAGAGUGUAAUUUACUUUCCUCUCAGGGGGAUUACAGAAAAGAGGACAGGUUUUGGAAUCGCACGCCAUUGGUUCCAACAGUGGCUCUGCUGCACAUACGUUGGGUGACUUUAGGCCAGUUAUUUAAACUCCCAGACUUAGUUUCCCCAUGUGUAAAAUGGGAAGAAUAAACAUCACCGGCAUCCUAGUGUAGUUGUGAGAAUUAAAUGCUUAUCGUGGCCUGGCACCUGACGAUAGCAGGCACUUAUGGGAAGAUGGCAGUCCCAGAGGGCACUCAGGAUUGGUGUCCAGUUUACAAUGCUUAGAAAUAUUGAAUAGAACUAAAUGGUACAUUCUAUUCAACAAGGCAACAUUACAAGUCCAAGUACCUAGUGUUGUUAUUGUUUCUAAGUUUAUUUAUUUAUUUUGAGAGAGAGAGAAGGUGUGAGUUGGGGAGGAGAAGAGAGAGAGAGGGGGAGAGAGAGAAUCCCAAGCACUGUCAUUGCAGAGCUCGGGCUUGCAGUCACGAACCGCGAGAUCGUGAGCUGAGCUGAAGUCUGAUGGUUAACCGACCGAGCCAGCCAAGCGUCCCCCCAAGUACCUAGUGUUUUUAAACAAGUGCUUUGAUCUUAGGCAUUGAUGAUUCUGAGCUUUGCUGUUAAUAUUGUUUUUUUUUUUUAAAUCAAGUUCUUUUGUGCCAACGGAGAAGUGAUAGUAUAUCUCAUAAGGAAAACCACCGAGGGAAAACUUAAAUUUUAUAUAUUUGUUUAGUUCAAUGUAAUUAUUUAUGAACCCGAACUGGGUUUGAAUUCCCAUUUGGCUAUUUCAUUAGCUUUAUGACUUUGGACGAAUGACUUAACCACUUUAAACGUGUUUGCUCUCAUAGAAAGGGCAUGAUUGUAACAGUUAAAUGUAACCAAAAUACAUAGAGAAAAGCCUACUGGUUGCUGUGGUCUGAAGGUGUCCCCUCAAAAUUCACGUGGUGAAAUCCUAAUCCCCAAAGGUGGUGGUUGUUAGUCAGUGAGGCCUUUGGGAGGUGCUGAAGUCAUGGGUUUAGUGCCUUGCGAGGGAGGCUCCACAGAGAAAGAACAGUGUCCCUUCCACCAUGUGAGGACACAGUAGGAAGGAGCCAGUUAUGAACAAGAAAGGGGGCCCUCAGCAGCAGGCGGCCAUGCUGGUGCCUCUAUCUUGGUGCCUCCAGAUCUGUCAGAAACAAAUUUCUGUUGUUUUUAAGUGACCCAAUCUGUGGUAUUUGGUUACAGCUGCCCGAAUGGACUAAGACAAUGGAAUUAUGUUUUCAAAACAAUAUAUUUUCCGGUAACAGAUUUAUUCGUUGUUCGCUUUUAGCUGUUGAACAACUGGGUUGGGAGGCAUCAGUGUGUCAAAGGUACAAAGUUGGAGAACCACUAAUCAGUGGUUCUCCAGUAGUCAGAGACCAGUAAUCAGUGGUGUUCUGGUCUCUAUGGGUUUCCUGUUGCUGCUGUAACAAAUCACUACAAACUUGGGGACUUAGCACAUAUUUAUUCUCUUAAAGUUCUGGAAGCCAGGAGUCUGCAAUCAGUCUCACUGGGCCAAAGUCAAGAUGCUGGCAGAAGACCAGUUCCUUUUGGAGAAUCCAGGGGAGAAUCAGCUUCCUUGCCUUUUGUAGUUCCUGGAGGCCCUUCUUGGCUUGUGGCCCUUCAUCCAUCACUCCAAUCUCUUGCUUCUAUCAACUCUCUUAUUUCUGUGGUCCAAUCUUCCUUUUCUAAGGAUUCUUGCAAUUACACUGGGCCCACCUGCAUAGCCCAAGAUCAUCUCCCCCUCUCAAAGUCCUUAACUUGUUCACAUCUGCAAAGUCCUUUUAGCCAUUUGAGUAAUGCUCACAGGUUCUGGGAAUUAGGAUGUGGACACCUUGGGGGACCUGGUAGAGGGCGAUUCUUGUACAGGUUGGAAGCUUCUUUAGGAGCGACCUGUGGGCACUUACAAUCUGUGACCGCAAAUGAAAAACAAGAGGGAAAAAAUGUACUUGUUAAAAUGAAAGCAUUUUCCUCUUCUUCUCUGCCCUGGGCGAUCAUGUUUCAUCCCAACUCAGCACACCUUUUAUCUGUAAAUGCAUUGUCGUGGGGUUACAUUUCAUCUAAUUUGUACUAAUCCAUGGGCUGGUUGAGCCACUCUCCUACUUUUUGGGGGCAUUCCCCAAAAGGACACAUCCCUUUUUUUGUACUUGCUUGCCCCAAACUGACAGGCCUACCGCAUUUAUAUAGCACUUUUCUGUCAACACUGUUCUAAACACUUUGUAUAUAUUAACUCAUUUAAUGGGAUAUUCUAUGAUGAAUAUAUAUCCUCAUUUUUCAGAUGGGGGAACUAAGGAGGCACCGAGAGAUGUAACUUGCUCAGAAUCUCAAGUGGGCAUUGAGAGCAUGCCUGGCUGUAGAAGCCACACUUUAAACCACUAAAUUCCACUACCUCUCUGCAAGACAUUCUCACCAAAUGGUCACUGUCUUCAUAGAGCCCAGAAAGAAAUGUUUUGGAGCCUGCUCCUAUAGUUCUGUUCUGCUUUGUCUCAGAAACAAACAAACAAACAAACAACAAACAACAAACAACAAACAACAAAACAGAGAGAGAAAGGAAAGGAAAGAGACUGAGAGAAGCUCUCAUUGACUUGAUCUAGAAGUCGCCCCAGCCCAUGGGUAUGCAACAUGCACGUGGGUGAUACCACAAGCAAGAAGUUCGCAUAUUUCAUCGUCCAGCAGUUAAGCUAGUGCCAAGCAGAUGUUGAUAGAAAGAUUUCGGAGAAACAUCAUAAAGUGAUGAUUAAGCCAAAAAGAAUUUGAAUGGUAAAAACUUAGCCUUAAAUCUAUAAAUUUAUGACUACUCUGUGCAUUUGUGUAAAAAAUCAGUCUUAAAUCUGUAGCCGUGCCGAGGACUUGGAAAGACAGAAUGGGUGGAGUGGGGAGAGGUGAUGGUGUUUGUCCCCUCCCACUCCCCCACUUUGGCGGACCUCCACUCCCAGCGUAGAGGUGAUAGGAAGUACAGGAUGGCAGAAUGCAUGGUGGGUAACAAUCCAGGUUCUGGGCCAGACUGUCUGUGUUCCAAUUCUGAAACUACUUCUUAUUAGCUAUGUAACCCCGACAGUGCUUACUGAACUUUUCUGUGCCUUAGUUUACUCAGUAGAAAAUGAGCCUAAUAAUAGUACCAACCUUAUAGGGUUUGUUAAAUGGGCUAAUACCCAUAAAGUCAUUUGUCUCCCAUGUAAAUACUCUAUACAUGUUAAUUGCUAUUAUUGUCCCCUUAUCAUACAUAAUAGUCUUGGGAGAAUUCCAUGCGUCUGGGAAGAAGGAGAUGUUUUUGUUUGGAUGGAAAUCAUAAGGGAGUCACUCAUUGAGAGAAGGAGGAUAUAAUAAACUGUCUUAGUCAGCUUGGGCUGCUAUAACAAAACACCACACUAGGUGGCUUAAAUAACAUUUAUUUCUCAUAGUCUGCAGGCUGGAGGUCUGAGAGCUGGGCGCCAGCACGGCUGGUUUCUGGUGAGAGCCUUCCUCCAGGCCUGCAGAUGACCAUCUUUUCACUGUGUCCUCACAGGUGGAGAGUGAGAACUCUUAUCUCUCUUCCUCUCCUGAUAAGGGCACUUAUCCCAUCACAGGGCCCCACCCUCAUGACCUCAUCUAGAUCUAAUUUCCUUCCAAAGGCCUCACCUCCAAAUACCAUCGCACUGGGGGUUAGGGCUUUUAACAUCUACAUUUUAGGGGCACACUGACAUUUAGUCCAUAAUAUUGGCAAAUGGAAAACUUAAGAAGACGGUUUCAGAUUGUGGAAAUUGCUGUGAAGAAAAGGUUUUAUAAGAAUGGGCUCAUUUGUGCCUGGAAUUGGUGGGACAGGGAACCCUACUCCAGUUGGGUGCCCAGGUAGGCUGCUUUGGCCAGCAUCUGAGAACAGAGAGAUCAGGCAGGAGUAUUGAGACUGUGGCAGCAGGAGGGCAAAGGCCUUGAGAUAAGAAAGAGCUUGAGUGUUGGGGAGACAGCAGCAUAAUAAGUCCAGUGAGGCUGGAGGAAAUGUAUAGGGAAGCAUGUGGUAGGAGGUAAUGUCUGGGAGAUGGGCAGGGGCUAGUGCGUGAAUGACAGGGAGGGGGGUUGAGUCUAAGCACGGUGGGAAGACAUUGGAGGAUUUUAGCCAAGUGGAGACAUGCUCUGAUCUGUGUUUCAAACUUGAUGUUGUGGUGCUAAGUGCUGUAAUUUACGAUUUGCAUUAUUACUGUGGAUAGACACAUUUAUUAAGUACUUACUGUAUGCCAGGCAUGUGUUGACCACUCUGCACACAUGUGAUACGGAGUAAACUGGAAAUUUCAACAGAAGCACUAGGACACUUUGGAUAUGAAAUUCCAACGUGAGAUGUCAGAACAUAUGCAGAUGUUUAAGGGUGCAGGCAUUAGAUGGUGGGAAAAUCCCCCCGUAGGAUAUAAAAGGGUAAAGAGCGUGGGUUUGUGAAUAGGAUUUCUUUGGAGGCAGCUGGUGCCAGAUCCCUCCCAAUGUACCCCCCCCCCCCCCCACUUAAAGGGCUUCAGUGAGACCACUUACAGAGUGGGUUGUCUGCUUGUCAUUUGGGGGGCAUGCUGAGAUGGGGUCUGACAUGGGAGAGUGGGCAGGAGGGAGGAGAGGCGAGGUGAGGGAGAAGGUAGUAGGGAAGUAGGUCAAAGGUAUAUGAAUGGUGAGCUGGAGGUGCAGACUGGUCAGGGUCUGGGGUCAUUUAAAAGGAGAUUGCCCAAGAGGAUCAUGUAGAGGGACUGAGUUCCUCAUGGGAUGGACACUGGCUUGGGAAAAGGAGAAGAUCUGAAGACAAGUCAAAAUGUGAUUGUUGUCUAGAACUGGACCUUCCAAUUUCUGAAUUGAGACUGUAUUUGAGAUGUGAUUUGAGGACAUUUAUGAUCUAAGGUGCACGUGUUAUGGGCCGUGCUUCAGACAGACUUCUACCAAGUACAAAGAAACAACAUCCCUCCCCCCGCGCCCCCCCCCCCCCCAAUGACAUCAUAAAGGGAAGUGUUGAGUUUUGAUUCUAACCCCUGAAAACCUCUCCAACGUUACUGGUUAUAGAUAUUUUAUGGAAACUUCUCUGAGGUGGGUAAUCUCAUUCCCGUGGAAGAGGUGAAGAAGUUAAGGCUUAGAGAGUUUCCACUAAUCAGAAGGAGGCCAUAAAAUUCGGAGGGAACCAAACAGGGUUUGAACCCAGAGCUUCUCUUAGUCGCUGCGCCAUGCUGCUGAGGAAGCAAUAAAGGACCCUGCCAUGGCAGUCUGACUGUGAACUGUUGGAAAUAGCUCAUGGGUGGUGGGUUUUGAUUUUUUUUUUUUUUUAAUAAAGAAGGCCAACACAUCAAGUUGAAUUUUUCAUCUCUCGGUUGAAGAUUGGCAAAGCUCCCCAGAAUGAAGCGGGACUUCGGACCCACAGUUCAGGGUAUCUUCGCUGGCAUGUUACGAGAAGGCAGAGCUGGGUCUUCAGGAAGACGAGGAACGUGGGGGUGCUGCUUUCUUCCCACCUCCCCCCCGACCCUCUUCCCCUGCUGGUGUGUGCUCCCUGCUGCUAGCUUCAGAACUCGAAGUUCAGGGCCAGUCCUGGGGGCUGUUCAUCAGGGCCUUCGUCUGGUGGACAAUGUGCUGAGCUUUGCAGGCUGGGGGAAGUUCAUAAAACUGCAGAGCCCUGCUGGAGAAGUGAGGAAUUGUACUUUUCAGAGGGGCUCUCAGGCACCCCUGAAGCAUGGCCUGUCAGCCUCUCCCUGCUGUUCCGUUACCUUUCUCAGGGAGCGUCCCGAAACCAGCUUCAUUUGCGUGCACCACCAACUCCAGUAAAGCCGUUGUUAAACACCCAUUGUUAGGAUCAUGACUAUCAGAUAAAUAAAAUACUGCUGUAUAUUCAAGCAUGGCCUUUACAGCAUUAUAUUAAAACAAUAAAUCAAGUAUCACGGA